CACUAGUUUGUAAGAGAAGGUCUGCUGGGAGAGGGUAGUGAAAGUCUCCAAUAUGGAAUGAAAAAAUAAAUUAUGGCUUGGAGCUUGGCUGUGAUGCUUACCGAGCCGGUGAGCAAGCACAAAGAUGGACACUGUGAUAGGAAAGGCAGAGCUGGUGUCAUUGACACCCUAUUUACUGAUUCCACAAGAGAACUAAUAAUUUAAGCUCUUAUGAACGAUUUUUUCUUACCUGGACUCAACCUAAUUUCUAUCCAGUAAAAUGCUUCUAUGCUUUAAAAAAAACUUUUUUAAUGUUUAUUUAUAUUUGACAGAAAGAGACAGAACACGAAUGGGGGAGGGGCAGAGAGAGAGGGAGACACAGACUCUGAGGUAGGCUCCAGGCUCUGGGCUGUCAGCACAGAGCCUGACAUGGGGCUCGAACUCAUGAACCGUGAGAUCAUGGCCUGAUCCAAGUCGGACGCUUAACCGACUGAGCCACCCAGGUACUCCAUUUCUUUUAAUGCUUUAAUCAUGCCCUUUUAUUAUCUUCCCUUCAGAUCUGUGAAGUAGUUCUUAAAAUCUAUAAGUCACAUAAUCCACUAUAUAUCAGUUAAAGUAUUUUCUGUUUCAGACAAAUAUUCCUUUUUGGUGGGAUUCAAAACAUUUUCAACUGCCCCUUCCCAAAGCAGAUGCACUUCUGCCAGUGAAUAUUCUUGUUAACCAUCUCGUUUUCACCACUGAUGGAACCUUGGUGAAGGUGUGUGUGAUUGAACAAACAUGUUUGCUUUUGGUUUGUAUUACUUUAUUUUGUUUAUGUUCUUUAUAAUUGGGUACUCUUUCCUUAGCACCUUUUUUUUUCUGCUUUGGAUUGUUAGGAUUGAUAAUAAGAGAAAAAAAGGUGUCGGGUAAUUUUCUAAAAAUACAUUCUAUUUUUUGAGUGGUUAUUCGGGUUUUAGUUGGUAUUCCUUUGGGCUGUAAGGUUUAUUUGGUGUCUCACUUUGUCAACAGUCCUGUUAUUACAUUUAAGCUGCUUCUUAGAGUAUACUUUCCUGUUUAGUAAAGAAAACUCACUUUAUUUCCUAAGAUGAAUUAUAAUUAGGACUGCUUGGUGCUGAGACUCUUUCUCACUUAAUACCCCUAAUGAGAUACAAAUGUUCUAAAUGUGUCCUUCUGAAUGGAUUAGAUUUUGAGAGGAAUCUACUUAUUUUAGUUAACUAAUCCCUUUGCUUUUGUAUCAUACAUCCUUAUUAGGCUCUCAUGUUUCUUUUCCAUAUGGAAUUCCUUGUGAAAUCAGACCUUAGCAAACAGUGUUAUUAACUUUCAGGGUCAGUGGUACUGAAAAUGUCAAUGAAGUUUGUUGAUUCUACAUAUGUUGUUUUUAUGGCACUCUUGCUUUUUUAUAUACUCAUGAUAAAUAUAAUUCCUUCACUAUUCUUGCAAAAUGAAUUUUGUUUCUUAGUACUUUUCUGAUAUUUAUGCUUCCACCCAAUAGCAUAAAAUAAUUGAAUAUAUUUGAACUUCCCAUCUACUUUUGUGUCUCCUUUUAUAGUUCUGCUUAGCUUCUUGGGUUUCUGGACAUGGUGUGUCUUUGUCUUUUUGCCAGAAACCUGAAAAUGUCCUAAUAGAACGUUCCCGUGUUGAGUCAUAGUAAAUUCGGUUUGUCCAACUUCUAAGACUCAGUGUGUUACACUUGUCAGUGACCAUGUCCUUCUAUGUUCUGAGAAAGCAGACAAGUUAGUGAAGACGUUUUGAAGAACUUGAGCUAUGGACUUCUACUUCCUGAGUUCAAAUACAGGCUUCUCUGCUUACCAUUUGCAUGCCCUUGGACAAGUUAUUUGACUUCCCAAUGCUUCAGUCUCUGUCAAAUGGAGACUAUAAUGCUACUUACCUUAUAGAUAGUUACGAGAAUUGUGUGAGAAAAUUCAUGAAAAGCUCUUACAAUACUGCUUGUUAUGUACUCACUGUACUCUUGAUGUAAUGGUAUCUAAUUGAAUUUUCAAAGUACAUUUUAAAGUCUAUUUCUUCCUUAGUCUUCACAACCACCCUGUGCAGAAGGAAGUGCUAUUUAACUGUGUUUUAUAGGGGAAGUCACAGAGGCACAGUGUUAGUACCUAACUUUGUUACUGGUAACAGAGUUUGGAUUAUAAUCUGACUCUUUCCUCUAAUUUGUUAUACUUGACUAUAAAUUGAAUUGUUAGGAAGUUGGCUUGAUUUUGUGAUGUUAUAAGCUAGAAAGUGUAGAUGGGAAGGGCAAAACUCCCUAUUCCUUUUUUAAAAAAAAAUUAUUUACUUAGAGCUGGGGAGGAGCAGGGAGAGGGAGAGCGAGAGAAUACCAAGCAGGCUCCACAAACCCAGCCUGGAGUCCUUUGUGGGGCUUGAACUCACCAACUGUGAGAUCAUGACCUGAGUUGAAAUCUAGGGUCAGAUGCUUAACUGUUUGAGCUACCCAGGUGCCCCCCAUUCCUGUUUCUUUUUUUAAAUGUCCACCUGUCAAGACAGAGCCCUGAUGUGGGGUUCAAACCCAGGAAAUGUGAGAUCAUGACCUGAGCUGAAAUCAAGAAUCAGAUGCUUAACUAACUGAGCUACCUAUGCGCCCCUAAAUUCUUACUCCUUAAAUUUCACCCAGUGGUGAGCCAGUUCAUUACUACUAAAAUUAUUUACUUACUUAUUAAAUAUAAAUAAUUCUUAGUUUUUACAGCCCCCAUAUGCACAGUUUUCAGUUAUUACGUUAAUUAAAUAACACCAGUUUCCCAAAAAGUUUAGAUUUCAUUUAUUAUGUUAACCAUGAAUAAUUGUAAAAAGUCCAACUAGCACACCUUGUUAUAUGGCCCUGAAAAGACAGCAAAGCAUGUAGAUGUGUUGCUUUCUUGUCUCUGGGAGAAAAACCUGCAUAGCAUCUUCUAAAAUUGGAUAAUGCAAAGAGAGAAUUGUCCGACAAAGACCAAAGUUGCAUCAAAGAAAUGAAAACUGAUAACACUGGAAAUGAAAUUGAGCCAAUUGUAAAGAGAGUUCUGGAAAAAUAGCUGACCACAGGAAUAUCAACUCUGCCACUGUUGUAGAUACUCUGUAUAUGCAGCCAGAGGAGCUUAGUGAAAGGUAACUUAUCACAAAUUAAGAAGGUGUUAUAGCUAAAAGGAUGAAGACCUAACAGAGGAAAGGAUGCUGGCAAAAAAAUUCAUGUUAAAAGGAACUCCUCAGAGGGAUACUGCCAGAGAGAGGAAGCACAAAGGAUAAAAUGUUGGGAGCUAACCCAAACUUAGGAGGAUACCAAUUCACCGAGGUAUGCAAAAGAUGCUCAUUUGGUGUUUUAAGUUACAAAGUGAGAAGAAGACAGUACAAACAACUCUUGAUUUUUUUUUUAAUAAAGGAAGAAAAUACUUGAAUUCUCAAAGUUUUGAUUAUUUUAAAUUACAAUACACUAAAUAUUUUCUCAUUUUCGUGUGUGUCUGUGUAUGUGUGUGUGUCUUUAUAAUUGAUAGUUUUUAAUGUUUUGACCCCCCAAAAACGUUAGAGGUCCUAGAAAAAUCAUAUUUUUCCUGUUGAUUAUUAAGAUUGCUUUGUGUGGUUUCAGCUUGCAUGGUUAUUUCUAUGGUUGUGCAGCAAAAGCUGCCUAUAUUUAUUGAACCAAGGGGCACCCUUAUAAGUGGUGAUACAGUGAUGCCUUAUGAAACAAGUAUUCCAAUACAGAUUUGGAGUGUCUCCCAUGUGCCAGGCUGCAUAUACACAUGUAAAUAAAAAGUAGCCCUAUUUUCCAAAGAAUAGGGCUUUCAGUUGAUUGAUGAAAGACAAGAUUAUUACAUCACAACAUAUACCUAUAAUAUAUAUAGUACAUUUCUUUGAAUGCAGUAAUAGGGAAAUAUCAGGCAUUAUGAGAGCCUAGAGGAAGGGCAUCCAGCUUAUUAGUUUGGGAAUUUGACGGGUGGUAGAGGCAGGGAGACAGCCUGGAGGGCUUAGGAGUUAAUUUGGAAAAGCUGUUUUGAAGAGUAAGACAGUGAUGAGAAGCUUGUGUAUGGAAAGUGCAGGACAUUUUAAAAAGUUGAUUUUUGCUGGAAUGUGGAGGGCAAGAUGAGACAGAUCAACAGUGCCAUGGAACUUGUAGGCAGUGGGAACUUGUAGGCAGUGGGAGAGUCCAUGGGGUUUUCCCCAAUUUCUUUUAUAUUAAGGUAUAAUUUAUACAGAGUAAAAUGGACCAUUUUAGUAUGUAGUUUGGUCUGUUUGCUCUAAAUCCUGUAACCACCACCAGAGUCAAGAUGAAGAACAUUGAUAUCACCUCCUAAAAUCCUCAGUGCUCUUGAGUGACUAACCCCUCCUCUCACCCCCAGCCCUGGCAACCACUGAUCUGCGUUCUGCCCCUAUGGAGUUACACCUUUUCCAGAAUGUCAUAUCAAUGGAAUUAUAUAGUAUAUAAACUUUUAGGUCUGGCUUCUUUCUUUUGGUGUAAUGCUGUUGAGAUUCACUCAUGUUGUUGCAUGUAAAAGCCUUUGGGUUAUAAGCAGGAAAAUUAUCUGAGAUUUGAUUGGAGGGUGAAUUUGAGAGGACCAAGAGUAGAGGCUGUUACUCUAAUUUAGCCAGGUGCUAAUGGAGGAGACUUGCAAAGGUAGGGCUUGGUUUGACAAGUAUGUGGGAGGUGGAGUUGGUCUCAACUGAGGUAGGGAGUAUAAGAGUGACAACAGGUGGGGAAGUGAAGACCCUGUAUGUUGGAUGUGUUGAGUGUGGGAUUACCUUGAGGUGAAGCCUAUCAGGAGGUGGGCAUGAAAGGAGUUGAUUUCUUUAAAUUCUUAUCCUUGUGUCUUGCCAGAAUCUAAUUUGCUAAGCAUUGACCUUGCUUGAUAUGUAGGGCUUCCUUUUCUCUUCAUCCCAUCACAUCAUCAUCAAGAAUUUACUCCCAAGGCCUUGUUUUGGCUUAUUGAACUAUCGGUGAAUAAACUUGUCAUGUUUUAGAAGAAUGCCUCCACCAUAUAGUAUCAGAUAACUGCAUUCAUCUCACUUACCCAUUGUUUUCCAUAGAUAGCAGUUUAAAUGUUUCUGCAAAAGCUGUGGUCCCUGGAGCUGUAAACCAUUGUUCUGUAGUCUUGAACCAGCUAUAGGUAGGGGAUUGUCUUGUUCCUUUUUCCACCAAAAGGGGUUCUCUGUUUUUGGAGGGUAGUACGUUUGAACAGUAUGGGAUGGAAGUGUAGUGAUAAAUGAACACAGUAUUAUCUAAAUUUAAGAUGUGGCUGUGACUGACUCAUUUUCUGUGUACUCUCUAAUUCAGUGAAGGUCCUCAGGCUGCAUCCAGGCUAAUGGGAGAAUUCUCUGCUUGAUUAAUGUCUAUCUCUGGUCUAGGAAGAAAAGCACCCCAGGAAGCGGUGGGCAGUGUAUUUGCUCCUCUGAUGAAUAAGGAAAGGUGAUUUACCAUACAAAGGCCUAUACCCAAAAGGUAUUGGAUACAAAAUUGGCUCACAGCCAUAAUUACAACUAACACAGCAUUUCAUAGUCAGGACAGCUCCAAGAGGUAGAGAGUAUUUAGAUUUUCAUCUCUUACAAAUGGGAAACUGAAGUCUAGAGAGGUAAGAUAACUUUCCCAGAGUCAGACAGCUGGUUGGGGUAGAGUUGGAAUGCAGAUCCAGGCAGUGUAGCUCAAGAGUGCACACUCUUCUGUGUACACCAUGCUGUCCUUAGAAUUCUAGAAUGCUAUCAUGGGAGGGAGUCACAUGAUUAUUUUAUUGUUUUUAAUGUUUGUUUUUGAGAGACAGAGUGAGAGCAGGGGAAGAGCAGAGAGAGAGGCAUACACACGCACAGAAUCUGAAGCAGGCUCCAGGCACUGAGCUGUAUGCAUAGAGCCCGAUGCAGGGCUCAAACCCACACACCAGGAGAUCAUGAUCUGAGCCGACGUCGGAUGUUUAACUGACUGAGCCACCCAGGCACCCCAUCACACGAUUAUUUUUUUUUCCUCACUCUUAAAUUUACAGUUAAGAGCAAGGAAGUCUAGAGAGGCUCUGAUGACUCACUCAGGAUCAUACAGCAAUGGUGGAGGCAGAGCUAGUUACAGGGUUCUUGCCACUCUUGUAAAUUUUAUACCUUUGCCUUGGUUGCUUGUCAGUCUCAUAUCUGUGAAGAAUAACAUCCAAGUGGGCAGACUGGCAAAAUUGGUGUUUAAUUCCAUCCUUUUCCUUGGCCUCCACUCUCUCUUGCCUGGAAAUGUACUAAUUGGCUGUCUUACCAUCCCCACUGUUACUUUAUUAUUCCCAAGGGAGCCUGGAAUCACCAUUACUGUUCUCUAGCCUGUCCUAUUUGAUCCUUGUCCGAUCUUUGCUCUUUCCAGUCUCUUUCCAGUAGCAGUGGCAGAGGGAGAAGCUGUCCAGCCAGCUGGAUGAGAGUUGGGUUUGGGAUGGGGGAGGACGUGGGGACUCUGUGGGAUUGGGAUUAUUACACUACAGAUCAAAGACCUUCCCUUAGGGGUGCUGACCUUUGUGAUUUUGCUCUUCCUGCUCCACCUAUGCCUACCAGAGUUUACCCCUCCACAUCUGGUGUAGGGCAUCUCCCCCUUUGCAGUUGGAAUUCAGAGCUGGAGAGACAGUACCAUUGAAUUUGCUUGCCCCAGGCACUUAACUCACAUAGAACAGGGCAUCUGGGACAGAGAAGGGAGCUUUUGCCUUAACAGUUUACAUUUCAUAUUUGUUUUAAUUUUGAGGAGCCACAUUUGGGGGAAUAAAUUAAUUUUCUUUAACAUUUAUUAAUCUUCUUUUACAAAAAGUCCCUCAUGUAAGCUUAUUCAAAUAGAGACUGUGUUUUUCUUCUGUUUCCCCCUUUUUCCCUCCUUUCCUCCCUCCCUCCCUUGUAUAGUGGUCUUUGUAUGUAAAAAUUUAACUCCUGAUCUAGUCUUUUCCACCUAAUGCAAUAUUAAUGCAUUAUGGUCACUAUUCUCCAGUGAGUUACUCUUUCUCCACAUUCUCUAUAAUUAAAAAUGUCUUUCUCAGUUUCAACUCAAAAUACCUGAAAAGACUCCUUGUUUACUUAAGAGAAGGCAAAUUUCCCCAGGUAAGUUGCCAUAUGUUUUCUGUAAAAACUGGCACACACUUUCUUUGUAUUUUACCCCUGUCCAAUGAGACCUUUGUAGGGGUAAUCAGCCAGUCUAAGCCACUCAUCUCUUUUUGCUUACAUUUUCUUGGGCAAUUUUAACUCUUUUAGUGCUAUCCAGGAAAGUCUGCUUCUUCCUAUCACAACAGAAGUUGCCCACCUUCUUUUGAGAUUGUCCACCUUCUUUUCAGUUUCCUCAGAUGGCCAUUGAGCUCCAGGACUGUUCCUCUGAAUAAAGCCAUGUGCACAGAGGCAAGUUGCCCUUCAAGACCCUGGGAAGGGCCCCAGCGCAUGUGUUCACAUGGUCAUUUCUUUUUGUGAAGUUUGCAUGUAUUUUUGCAUGCUUUUUCUUUAAGAGCAUAUAAGCUUUAGUAAGAGCUUCUAUCACUUUAAUUAGUCACCUGAUCCAAUUACUUUCUGUGUGGCCUUCCAGUUCUUUUUUUAAUUUUUCUAAUUUCUGAUCUCUGAAGAUAGGGAACAAUUAUUCAUCCACAGUGUCAAUCAGGAGGUAAAGACCCCAACAGAAACUUUGCCAGAGGGAUACUUUAAGGCUUAGACAGUCUAGUCUUAUGUUGCAGUGGACUUACAUUUACUUAGUAGAGAGUUGUGUUUGGUAAAGGCGAAUUUAAGGUUCUAGUUCUUUCUCUAAUACACAAGCACAUUCCCGUUUCAAGAAAAUAAAUUGGAAGCUGUCUCUGAAAUGCACUGUUAUGUCAGCAUGUACACAGGAACCUUAACCAACCUCUACAAGUGACCAUCGUUCUCCUGGUCUCUCAGGAGACCAGGCCCAAAUACCUGAGAGAUCAUUUUCUUCCUGUUUGUUCACCCACUCCAUUUGCCACCAAAUCCUGAAGGCAGUUGUUUUAGUUUGCUUUGUCUCUUAGAACUGUCCCUUCUUUA